GUGAUGCCCCGCCCUCCCUGACCGUGCUCCUCCCCUCCACCAAGGAGCUGCAGCAGGGGAAGGCCACACUCAUGUGUGUGGCCAACAAGGGCUUCCCCUCAGACUGGACUCUGUCCUGGAAGGUGGUCGGCAGCAGCAGCAGCAACUGGGAGGAGAGCAGGAGCCCCGGGGUGCUGCAGAAGGACGGCCUCUACAGCUGGAGCAGCACCCUGAGGCUCUCUGCAGACCAGUGGGAGAAGGUGACCUGUGAGGCCAAGAGAGGAUCCCAGACUGCAGUCUCAGAGACUCUCAGGAGAGACCAGUGCUCCCAGUCCUGAACGCAAGCAUUCACAUAACUGUUCUCUUUAAUUGCUUCUUUCAAAUUUUUAUUCAAUUGACAAAAUCUUCCUUUUCAUUGUUGCAUUUUUAAAGGCUGAAAUAAACACUUGUCAUCUUU